GGCUGGGCCGAGUGCAGUGGUGUCUACAACUAAUUGAUCACAACCAAUUACAGAUUUCUUUGUUCCUUCUCCACUCCCACUGCUUCACUUGACCACUCUAAA
rnacentral:Y_RNA from 1 species